rnacentral:rRNA from 1 species
UACGGGGGGGGCAAGUGUUGUUCGGAAUUACUGGGCGUAAAGGGCUCGUAGGCGGCCAACUAAGUCAGACGUGAAAUCCCCAGGCUCAACCUGGGAACUGCGUCUGAUACUGGAUGGCUUGAAUUCGGGAGAGGGAUGCAGAAUUCCAGGUGUAGCGGUGAAAUGCGUAGAUAUCUGGAGGAAUACCGGUGGCGAAGGCGGCAUCCUGGACCGACAUUGACGCUGAGGAGCGAAAGCUAGGGGAGCAAACGGG